rnacentral:rRNA from 1 species
UACGUAGGGAGCAAGCGUUAUCCGGAAUUACUGGGUGUAAAGGGAGUGUAGGCGGGGUAGCAAGUCAGAUGUGAAAAUUAUGGGCUCAACUCAUAACCUGCAUUUGAAACUGUUGCUCUUGAGUGAAGUAGAGGUAAGCGGAAUUCCUAGUGUAGCGGUGAAAUGCGUAGAUAUUAGGAGGAACAUCAGUGGCGAAGGCGGCUUACUGGGCUUUUACUGACGCUGAGGCUCGAAAGCGUGGGUAGCAAACAGG